AUUGAACGCUGGCGGCAGGCCUAACACAUGCAAGUCGAGCGCGCGGCGGACGGGUGAGUAAUGUAUGGGGGCUGCCCGUUAUGGGGGGGGAACUACUCUGAACGGUAUCUAAUACCCCAUACUCUCGCAUAACCCAUAUGGGAUUAGCUCGUAGGUGAGGGAAUGGCUCACCUAGGCGACGAUCCCUAGCUGGUCUGAGAGGAUGAUCAGCCACACUGGGACUGAGACACGGCCCAGACUCCUACGGAGGCAGCAGUGGGGAAUAUUGCACAAUGGGCGCAAGCCUGAUGCAGCCAUGCCGCGUGUAUGAAGAAGGCCCUAGGGUUGUAAAGUACUUUCAGUCGGGAGGCGUUACCGGCAGAAGAAGCACCGGCUAACUCCGUGCCAGCAGCCGCGGUAAUAC
rnacentral:rRNA from 1 species